rnacentral:lncRNA from 1 species
GAAGGAACCAGCGUUACCAUGCGUACGGGAGAGUCUUGGGGUGGUGGUGCCGGCCCAGGACGCAGGACUCUAAUGGCGUCGUGGGUGAGAGCUAUGAGGAGGGCACUCCGCCUGCAGCCUAGAAACAUGCCCCUCUGACCCACCUCCAUUUCUAGAAAACAUGCCCCUCUGACCCACCUCCAUUUCCAGAAACAUGCCCCUCUGACCCAUCUCCAUUUCCAGAAACAUGCCCCUCUGACCCACCUCCAUUUCCAGAAACAUGCCCCUCUGACCCACCUCCAUUUCUAGAAACAUGUCCCUCUGACCCACACCUCCAUUUCUAGAAACAUGCCCCUCUGACCCACCUCCAUUUCUAGAAACAUGCCCCUCUGACCCACCUCCAUUUCUAGAAACAUGCCCCUCUGACCCACACCUCCAUUUCUAGAAACAUGUCCCUCUGACCCACCUCCAUUUCUAGAAACAUGUCCCUCUGACCCCACCUCCAUUUCUAGAAACAUGUCCCUCUGACCCCACCUCCAUUUCUAGAAACAUGUCCCUCUGACCCACACCUCCAUUUCUAGAAACAUGUCCCUCUGACCCCACAUCCAUUUCUAGAAACAUGUCCCUCUGACCCCACACAUCCAUUUCUAGAAACAUGCCCCUCUGACCCACCUCCAUUUCUAGAAACAUGCCCCUCUGACCCACCUCCAUUUCUAGAAACAUGCCCCUCUGACCCACCUCCAUAUCUAGAAACAUGCCCCUCUGACCCACACCUCCAUUUCUAGAAACAUGUCCCUCUGACCCACCUCCAUUUCUAGAAACAUGUCCCUCUGACCCACACCUCCAUUUCUAGAAACAUGCCCCUCUGACCCACACCUCCAUUUCUAGAAACAUGUCCCUCUGACCCCAUCUCCAUUUCUAGAAACAUGCCCCUCUGACCUCACCUCCAUUUCUAGAAACAUGCCCCUCUGACCCACACCUCCAUUUCUAGAAACAUGCCCCUCUGACCCCACCUCCAUUUCUAGAAACAUGUCCCUCUGACCCACACCUCCAUAUCUAGAAACAUGCCCCUCUGACCCCACCUCCAUUUCUAGAAACAUGCCCCUCUGACCCACAUCCAUUUCUAGAAACAUGCCCCUCUGACCCACCUCCAUUUCUAGAAACAUGUCCCUCUGACCCCACACAUCCAUUUCUAGAAACAUGCCCCUCUGACCCACCUCCAUUUCUAGAAACAUGCCCCUCUGACCCCUCCUCC